AGAUUGAACGCUGGCGGCAUGCCUUACACAUGCAAGUCGAACGGCAGCACGGGAGCAAUCCUGGUGGCGAGUGGCGAACGGGUGAGUAAUAUAUCGGAACGUGCCCAGUCGUGGGGGAUAACGUAGAGAAAUUUACGCUAAUACCGCAUACGAUCCACGGAUGAAAGCGGGGGACUUCGCAAGAAGCCUCGCGCGACUGGAGCGGCUGAUAUCAGAUUAGCUUGUUGGUGAGGUAAAAGCUCACCAAGGCGACGAUCUGUAGCUGGUUUGAGAGAACGACCAGCCACACUGGGACUGAGACACGGCCCAGACUCCGUACGGGAGGCAGCAGGUGGGUAAUUUUGGAACAAGUGGGCGAAAGCCGUGACUCCGAGCAAGUGACCGCGUGACGAGGAAGAACGGCCAAGUUCGGGUUAGUAAACUGUCUUUUUACGGAACGGAACGUAAAA
rnacentral:rRNA from 1 species